rnacentral:rRNA from 1 species
CCGUACUCCCCAGGCGGCGAGCUUAACGGCUUCCCUGCGACACUUCGAUCGCGAACUGCGAUCGAAUCAUCUAGCUCGCAUCGUUUACGGCUGGGACUACCCGGGUAUUUAGUGCGCAGGCCUUUGCCUGCUGCAUAUCUAAUCCGGUUCGCUCCCCCAGCUUUCACCCCUCACCGUCGAGCGCGUUCUGGCGGACCGCCUUCGCCACUGGUGGUCUUUCGCGGAUCAAAGGAUUUUACCCCUACACGCGGAGUACCGUCCGCCUCUCCCG